CACCGCGGUUAUACGAGAGACCCAAGUUGACAGACAAUCGGCGUAAAGAGUGGUUAAGUACUAUAUUUUACUAAAGCCAAACACCUUCAAAGCUGUUAUACGCACCCGAAGGUCAGAAGCCCAAUCACGAAAGUGGCUUUAAACUAACUGAACCCACGAAAGCUAGGACA
rnacentral:rRNA from 1 species